GGCUCAGAUUGAACGCUGGCGGCAUGCUUUACACAUGCAAGUCGAACGGCAGCGCGGACUUCGGUCUGGCGGCGAGUGGCGAACGGGUGAGUAAUAUAUCGGAACGUACCAAGAGUGGGGGAUAACGUAGCGAAAGUUACGCUAAUACCGCAUACGAUCUAAGGAUGAAAGCAGGGGAUCGCAAGACCUUGUGCUCCUGGAGCGGCCGAUAUCUGAUUAGCUAGUUGGUGAGGUAAAGGCUCACCAAGGCAACGAUCAGUAGCUGGUCUGAGAGGACGACCAGCCACACUGGAACUGAGACACGGUCCAGACUCCUACGGGAGGCAGCAGUGGGGAAUUUUGGACAAUGGGGGGCAACCCUGAUCCAGCAAUGCCGCGUGAGUGAAGAAGGCCUUCGGGUUGUAAAGCUCUUUUGUCAGGGAAGAAAAGGCUGUGGCUAAUAUCCAUAGCUGCUGACGGUACCUGAAGAAUAAGCACCGGCUAACUACGUG
rnacentral:rRNA from 1 species